GGGGGCGCCCGGUUUCGACGGGAGCGCUUCGAGAAAAAAGAGCAGGUCGAGGUUCCGCUGGCCUCGUAAAAAAGCGGAAAAAAUGCAAGUGCGUCUAACAAUCUUGCAAGCCACUCUGCAGAAGAAGUUUUUGCGCGAGCAGAAGCUCUUCUGAGCCCAGUGGCAGUUGCUGCCUAAUUUAAGGCAGCCGUCUCGGUUGGCUUCUGUCUGUAGAGCCAUCUAGAGGCGCAACGAAUGCAGACUGUCUCAGACUGUUUGCCUCUGCAGUCUCGAGGAAAUUUAAAAGGCUAGGCAGAAAAAAUCCUGCUUUUGGGGAGUUUUUCUGCUGAAAGAAAAACCAGAGCUAAACCUGUAGGGCUUUUUUCUUAAACCUCUUCGGACGCGGGUUCGAUUCCCGCCGCCUCCACCA
rnacentral:tmRNA from 2 species